rnacentral:rRNA from 1 species
CCUACGGGAGGCAGCAGUGAGGAAUAUUGGUCAAUGGGCGCGAGCCUGAACCAGCCAAGUCGCGUGAGGGAGGACGGCCCUACGGGUUGUAAACCUCUUUUGCCGGGGAGCAACGGGCGUCACGUGUGGCGCCACUGAGAGUACCCGGAGAAAAAGCAUCGGCUAACUCCGUGCCCGCAGCCGCGGUAAUACGGAGGAUGCGAGCGUUAUCCGGAUUUAUUGGGUUAAAGGGGUGCGUAGGCGGAUCGUUAAGUCAGUGGUCAAAUUGAGGGGCUCAACCCCUUCCCGCCAUUGAAACUGGCGCUCUUGAGUGGAAGAGAAGUAUGCGGAAUGCGUGGUGUAGCGGUGAAAUGCAUAGAGAUCACGCAGAACCCCGAUUGCGAAGGCAGCAUGCCGGCUUCCGACUGACGCUGAAGCACGAAAGCGUGGGGAGCGAACAGGAUUAGAUACCCCAGUAGUC